UACGGAGGGUGCAAGCGUUAUCCGGAUUUACUGGGUUUAAAGGGUGCGCAGGCGGAUAUGUAAGUCAGUGGUGAAAUCUCCAGGCUUAACCUGGAAAUUGCCGUUGAUACUAUAUAUCUUGAAUGCUGUGGAGGUAAGCGGAAUAUGUCAUGUAGCGGUGAAAUGCUUAGAGAUGACAUAGAACACCUAUUGCGAAGGCAGCUUACUACGCAUAUAUUGACGCUCAUGCACGAAAGCGUGGGGAUCAAACAGG
rnacentral:rRNA from 1 species